CUUGGGAAUAAUUAGAGACAACUGACUAGGUAACGAUGUGCACAGUCAGUCAAUAGUUGCAAAGGCCAGUAAGUUAUUAUAAAUAAUAAUAAUAGGAAUUAUUGCCCCUUUAUAACGUCAUGGUUAAACCCCACCUUGAUUAUGUGGAGCAAUUUUGGGCACCUGUUUUUAAAGAAUUAUAUCAUAGAAAUAGUAAAAGUGUCAAGGUAUAUAACAAAAUAAAUAAGGGGAAUUGAAUAUUUUAGUUAUUAAUAAAGGUUACAAAAACUGCAUUUGUAGUCUUUGGAGAAAAUGUGUCUCAUAAGGAAUAUACAAAUAAAUUCAAAGUUAAUACAAACAGCUCUCUGAAAAUCUGUUCAAAAACAGGACAGUACAUAUGACAGUACUGUUC